GCUGGUCUCAAACUCCUGACCUCAGGUGAUCCACCUGCCUUGGCUUCCCGAAGUGCUGGGAUUACAGGCGUGAACCGCUGUGCCUGGCUCCUCCCAUGCUUUUGAUCUAAGCCUCAGAGCCUUUAUUAAACCUCCUCAGCCAGUCUUCUUCAUCUGGAUCCUGAAACAGACCUCCCCGGGAAGGGGGGGCCUCUCCAUCUGGUUUGCCUAAGUGGCCUCUUCAUAAGGUUGCAGACCCAGCUGUUCCAUCAGGUUUUGUGAGGACACUCUAAGGUGCACUAGAGGGAUGGCUUCAUCAGAGACACAGUUUGAAUCCAACCAUCCUUUUAAACAAGUAAGUUACACCUAACACAUGGCUAAAAUUUUAAAAUUAAAGCUAUACGAUAUUUA